GACGAACGCUGGCGGCGUGCUUAACACAUGCAAGUCGAGCGAGGCCCACCUUUCGGGGUGGUGUCCUAGCGGCGAACGGGUGAGUAACACGUGGGCAACCUGCCCUCAGCUCUGGGAUAACUCCAAGAAAUUGGGGCUAAUACCGGAUAUGACCGCUGACCGCAUGGUCUGGUGGUGGAAAGAUUUAUCGGCUGGGGAUGGGCCCGCGGCCUAUCAGCUUGUUGGUGGGGUAGUGGCCUACCAAGGCGACGACGGGUAGCCGGCCUGAGAGGGUGACCGGCCACACUGGGACUGAGACACGGCCCAGACUCCUACGGGAGGCAGCAGUGGGGAAUAUUGCGCAAUGGGCGGAAGCCUGACGCAGCGACGCCGCGUGGGGGAUGACGGCCUUCGGGUUGUAAACCUCUUUCAGCAGGGACGAAGCGAAAGUGACGGUACCUGCAGAAGAAGCACCGGCCAACUACGUGCCAGCAGCCGCGGUAAUACGUAGGGUGCAAGCGUUGUCCGGAAUUAUUGGGCGUAAAGAGCUCGUAGGCGGUUUGUUGCGUCGGCUGUGAAAUCCCGAGGCUCAACCUCGGGUCUGCAGUCGAUACGAGCAAACUAGAGUGUUGCAGGGGAGACUGGAAUUCCUGGUGUAGCGGUGAAAUGCGCAGAUAUCAGAGGAACACCGGUGGCGAAAGGCGGGUCUCUGGGCAACAACUGACGCUGAGGAGCGAAAGCGUGGGGAGCGAACAGGAUUAGAUACCCUGGUAGUCCACGCCGUAAACGUUGGGCGCUAGGUGUGGGGCUCAUUCCACGAGUUCCGUGCCGCAGCUAACGCAUUAAGCGCCCGCCUGGGGAGUACGGCGCAGGCUAAA
rnacentral:rRNA from 1 species